rnacentral:rRNA from 1 species
UACGGGGGGGGCAAGCGUUGUUCGGAAUUACUGGGCGUAAAGGGCUCGUAGGUGGCCAACUAAGUCAGACGUGAAAUCCCUCGGCUUAACCGGGGAACUGCGUCUGAUACUGGAUGGCUUGAGGUUGGGAGAGGGAUGCGGAAUUCCAGGUGUAGCGGUGAAAUGCGUAGAUAUCCGGAGGAACACCAGCGGCGAAGGCGGCUUUCUGGUCCGAUACUGACGCUGAGGUGCGAAAGCGUGGGGAGCGAUCCGG